AUUCCUCUAGCGCCACUGGGUUAGGGCCUCCCAGACUGAGCUGGUCUCGGCAUUAUGCAGAUACAAUGGAAGUCCAUGCUAUUAACACAGAACCAAUGGUUACCACACGAAUUCAUUUCAGAACUUCUUCAGCUUCCCAAACCAAAGCUGUCCCUGAUACAUUCAUGUUGGUGUGCACCUGUCACCACCAUCAUUAUCUCCAGAACUUCUUCAACUUCCCAAACUGAAGCUGUCCCUGAUACAGUCACGUUGGUGUGCACCUGUCACCACCAUCAUCAUCUCCAGAACUUCUUCAGCUUCCCAAACCGAAGCUGUCCCUGAUACAUUCACAUUGGUGUGCACCUGUCACCACCAUCAUCAUCUCCAGAACUUCUUCAGCUUCCCAAACCGAAGCUGUCCCUGAUACAUUCACGUUGGUAUGCACCUGUCACCACCAUCGUCAUCUCCAGAACUUCUUCAAGUUCCCAAACUGAAGCUGUCCCUGAUACAUUCACGUUGGUGUGCACUUGUCACCACCAUCAUCAUCUCCAGAACUUCUUCAGCUUCCCAAACUGAAGCUGUCCCUGUCCCCAUGGAAGACUGACUCCCAUCCUCUCUGCCAGCCCCUGGUGCCCACCAUCCACUUCCUGUCACUGGGGAUUUCACUGCUCUGGGUUCCUCAUAUACGGGGAAGCUUAUAGGAUUUAUCCUUUGCUGAAUGGCUUCUUUGAUUCAGCAUAAUGUCCUCAAGGUUCAUCCAUUUUGUAGCCUGUGUGAGAAUUAAUUUCUUUCCUUUUAUUUUUUUUCUUUUUUAGAGACAGGAGAGAUCAUAGCUCACUGCAGCCUCAACUUCCUGGGCUCAAGCUAUCCUCCUGCUUCAGUCUCCUGGGUAGCGGGGACUACAGCAAAUUUUUUAAAUUGUUUUUUGUAGAGACGGGGGUCUCAUUAUGUUGCCCAGGCUGGUCUCAAACUCCUGGCCUCAAGCCAUUCUCCUGCCUCAGCUUCCCAAAGAGCUGGGAUGACAGGCGUGAGCUGCAGGAUUUCCUUCCUUUUUAAGGAUGAAUAACAUUCCCUGCUAUGGGUAGAUCACACUUUGUUUCAUUCAUCAACGUCCGUUUUGCAGAGGCCCCUGCAGUCAUUGGCAGCAGUGUACCUUGGCUUCUGGAGUCAGUUUGAGAAUCACCCUGAGGUGCUACAAGCAGCUGGGAUCACUGGGGUGGUUUCUAGCCAUGUCAGUGGUACAGUUAUCAGGGGGCAAUGGAUGCUACCCUUCUAUCCCUGCACUUCCAGAUCUCCUGAAAUAACCUUCAGUCCCCAAAGUUCUCAACAUUUCUGUAAGCCUAGAGUUCCCUGCAAUGAAUCUCCUUCUACCCAAAAUACCUAGAGUGACUUUAGUGUUCCCGACCAACCAUUCCUGGUACCAGCAGUGUUUCCAGGAAGGCAGAACCUUGAAGAUGGGAAUCUGGAGUUAGUAAUUGGACAGACCAGGUUUUGUCUGAUGUCAGUGAGGACCACGUGAGGAGUGGGAAGCAGGAUGCAGAUAAUCUAUAAACAUUGUCACUGGUAAAAUCAUUACCUUGAGGUCUCUGCGAUGCAGUGCCCAUCACAAGCCUGGGUUUCAGACACCAGGGGGCUCUUGCAAUAGGACAUUAGGAUGUGGAUGGAAACCAUGCAUACAAGGAUGUGGCAUGGGGUGGCUGCUGCUUAUUGCACUGGGGAACUGACAAAGAAAAUGACAAGCUGUGGCCUUAAGUGCUCAGCUGAAGGUAUAGACAGAGAACCAGAGCCCUUCUAUAGCUGUCCUAAAAAAACCAUUUUAGUUCUUGUAGCUGUAGAGUCAACUUUUUUUUUUAAAUGCAGAGUACAAAUUUGAUCUUGCAGGCUAAUGAAUUACAACUAAAGAAUAAUUAAAUGUCUUACUAAAUCUCUUAAGUCAAAGUUAAGGCAUUUAUUUGGAAAGAAUGAGACCUCGAGAACUGGAGAGGGUGGAUUUCUCUGACUCUGAGUCCCCUGAACAUUAGACCUUCCUGAGUCUCCCUGUAAGCAGAAGUGACUCUUCCUUAGAGUCUGAGGUGAGUAAAACUGUGCCCAAAGAUCUGUGAUGGCUUCACUUGAGGAAACAGCCUUGCAAGAUGACAGAUCUCCCUUGAGAUCCACCUCCACCGACCCUCAUUAUUCCCAGAGCCAUGACUAGAGUUGGGUGCAGAGGGAUAAACACACAGUGAGACCCAAGAGGAGCCACAUACACACUGAAUGCAAGUUUUUGCCAAUUUACAUCAGCAGAAACCCAGGGGCGUCUGAGGCCGUGGACUCUUGGAGUGUUGGACCACAAAGGAGGUAACAGAAUGUUAGAUCAGGGUAGUUUUACCAAUGAGACUCACACAGCAGAGACUCACUUAGCAGAGAAGUGUGCAGAAGCAGUGGCUGGAAGUGGUUCUCAUAGUUUGUUCCGUUGUUUGACAGAAGCUUGCACACCACGUGAAAUGAAGUGAGCUGUCAGAACUUCCUCCAUACAACGGAGAGGAAAGGAGGCAAAAGCACAGACGUGGCAACGUUAGAGGAUUUAUCGCAUGGCCCUGUUCAUCCAUCCCAGCAAUGCAUCCUGGGAGAGAAAGGCGUGGCAAUAUGCUGAUGGAGGGCACCGCAUCUUGGAAGGCUCUGUGGACCAAGAUAGUGGUGCAAGUUGCUCUCAUUGAACAGGCUGCCUGAGUGUUGGCAACCAGGUAGCAGCUCCAGCACAAUGGGGUGUCCUGGUCUCAAUGGGUGACAGGGCCAGGGCAGCAACUGUGUCCUUCACCCUGUAGGACUUUGGGGAAUGUCUAACUGAUUGAAGUGUCCCCAGGACUAAAACACGUAAGUAGCCUGCCAAAGUGUUCUCUGGUCUCUGUCUUAGUCUGUUUGGGCUACCAUAACAAAAAUAUCAUUAAAGAUCUGGGUGGCUUAUAAAUGACAGAAACAUGUCUCACAGUUCUGGAGGCUGGAAGUGCAAGACCAAGGUGCCAGCUGUGUUUGGUGGAGGCCAGUUUCCUCUCAGACAGCAACUUCCGGCUGCACCCGUACAUGGGGCAAACAAGGCUCCCAUGGGCCCCUUUCAUAAGGGCACCAAUCCAUUUAUGAGGGCUCUGCCCCCAUGACCUUGCCACCUCUUGAAGGUCCCACCUCCCAACACCAUCACCUUGGUGAUUAGGUUUCAAUACCUACCUUUCGAGGAGGACACAAGCAUUCAGACCAUGGCAAUCACUGUAAGUGACAAAACCCUGUAGGUCUGGUGAACAGAGAAAUGGCGUCAGCCAGCAUGGUGGAGAAUCCUGGCUUUUCCCCAUAUCCCAGAACUGAGCAGCUCAGAACCCCUGAAUGCCGGGGGACCAGACCUCCUUACAGAAGGGCUCUGAGAUACCACUGGCCCCACGAUUGUGGGCCAGUCAGAGCGGGUGGGAUGCUCGGCUCAGAGGUGCUGCCUAGCCAUUCUCCAGGGCGAACUGUUUCCUUCCUUCCAUCUGCAGCCACGCUGCCAAAGGGCUGCAGACUUCUUCAGAGAAAUCUAGGAGAAAGAUUUACAGUGCAUACUGGCAACGGUAUCCUGGAUUCCUCUUUUUUUGUUUGUUUGUUUGAGACAGAGUCUUGCUCUGUCGCCCAGGCUGGAGUGCAGUGGUGUGAUCUUGGCUCAUCGCAGCCUCUGUCCCCCAGGUUCAAACAAUUCUCCUGUCUCAGCCUCCCGAGUAGCUGUGACUGCAGGCGUGCGCCACCAUGCCCGGCUAAUUUUGUAUUUUUAGUAGAGACAGGGUUUCACCAUGUUGACCAGGCUGGUCUCA
rnacentral:lncRNA from 1 species